CAAAAGCAAAACACGGAAUUCGAACUCCGCCGUUUAAAAAUGUAGCCUAUAGCAAUACCGUGCACAAUAUCGACUAUGUUUUUAGUAGCCCAUACUGAAUCUUACCUCCUAAAAAUUUCGUGCUUACAUCAUAUGUGUGCUGAAAAAACAUUGAACAGUGUUCACUGAGAAGCAGAUAAAUUCUGGGAGAACUGACAAGGGAACAAGAAACAUUCUACAGACCAAGAACUUUAUGACAUUGACACAAUACAACAGAUUUGGAAGUGGGUGUUUAACCACACAGAUGGACAGAUGAGUUAUGGUUAUGAAGAAGAAAAUCACUGGGAUAUGGAAUUGAAGGACAUGAUAGAAUCAUGUUCUGUCAGAAGAAAGAAAAUGGGGACCAAAAUUGACAAAGGAAAAAGGAAGGUGGAGUUUUGGUUGGGUGGAGUGUCAAAGAUGCCUACAGUUAAUCAAUAUGUUAUAAAUUACUGAAUAUAACUAAAGAUUUCUUUUUCACAAAAACCAAGUACAACAUAUUCAUGUUUGAAAAUACUGCUUAUCAGUGUUGCAAGUAUAGUGAUAUUGUAUAUUGUAUAUUAAUAUAAUAAACAAGGUUGAAAAGU